AAGGGCGCUGCCCUGGACUCAGGGAGCUCACUCCUCCUCUCUGGGCAACAGAGAAAAGUCACCCACUGCAGCAAAAGCCAUGAGAAUAUGCUCAGUGAUAAGGCAGUGGCGUUAAAUCUGCAGGCAGUGGGCUAUCUGUGGGUCCUUAAAUCUAUUUAGUGCAUCUUGAACAGUAUUUUUAAGCUGGGAUAAGUGGAAUAGGAAGGAGUGGAGUGGAGCAUGAUGAUGAUUCCCCCAACAACCCUGGGAGGUGGCAAGAUAGGAUCAUGCUUCUCCUUGCAAAGCUGAGACGAUGGGGACUUGGCAAGGCUGAGAGACUCUCUGGAGGUUGACAGCUGAGAGGUCAGAGCACCAGACCUGGGGGUCCCACAGCCCAGCUCCCAGUGUGGAGGGUCCUGCUGUGCCCACUGCCACCAAAAACACAGCUUCGCCCAGCAUCAUGCAGUAUCUGCCACACAGCGUCUGUCUGCCACAUGGCAUCUGCCACCUGAACUAUCUCCAGGCACCUCUGCAGUUACAGCAACAGAUUUUCAAUGCCGGGCUCGACACUCUAAAUUGAUUUCAAGACCCGCUAAUGCGUCACAGCCUGCGAUUUGAUAAACUCCACGCUAAGACACAUCCCGUUGUGAGGUGUUCGACCCAGAGGCCAUUUAUCCUGCA
rnacentral:lncRNA from 10 species